ensembl:lncRNA
AUGGUGGGGAGCGGAGCCGCCGAGGCGCUCCGCCCGGGCCGGGAGGGGGAGAUCGAUCAAACUUGGCGGGGGGCGGGCUUGCAGCCACUCGGCCUCCGCCGGCCCCCGUUGAGGGGCUUACGGGCGGCGGCAGCUGACCGGCCUCAGGGGUUGCGGCUGGUCCCUUUAAAGCUUUAUCGCCUGGACGAGGGCGGGGUGUGUAUGUGUGUGUGCGUGUGCGCGCGCGUGUGUGUGUGUGCGUGUGUGUGUGAGUGCGUGUGCGUGUGUGUGCGUGUGCGUGUGUGUGCGUGUGCGUGUGUGUGUCUGUGUGUGUGCGUGUGUGUGCGUGUGUGCGCGUGUGUGCGUGUGUGUGCGUGUGCGUGUGUGUGUGUGUGCGUGCGUGUGUGUGUGCGUGUGUGCGUAUGCGUGUGUGUGUGUGUGUGUGCGUGUGUGUGUGCGUGUGUGAGAGUGCGGUGCGGCCGGCUGCCUGAGGGGAGGAGGAGAGGGGAGAAAUCCCUCCAAAGUGAAGCAAUCAGUUAAAUUCAAGCACAAAAUGAAAGAACACACUGAAACAGGAAGAAGAGGGGAGGGGUGGGCUCUCGUCUGGAAGACGUCGGUCCUCCUCUCGAACACCGGCUACGUGCGUUGAGGCCCUGCUUCAAGGACGUGGUCAAUCAUCGCUCAUUUGUGGGAAGUAGAGAGUAAUUUCUUUCCUCUGGACUUCCAUAUAGCCUUCAUUUAUUUUAUUUUUUUGUUUUCCUCCCUUCUUUUUAUUUUCCCUUUCCCCCUCCCCUUUCCCCUUUCCCUUUUUAUUUCCCUUUAGUUAAAUUGUUUAGUUCAUAAUAAUCUUUACUUAUUUAAUUAUUAUUAUUUCCCUUUAAUUAAAUUAUCCUUAUCUCAACCCGUGAGUUGUUCUUUGCUUUACUUCUCCCCCUCCUCAUCUAACAGGGGGAGUGAGAGAGCCGUUGUGGGGUUUAGCUGCCCAGCAUGGUAAAACCACCACAGAAUUGAUCACAAAUAUGUAAGGUCUUUCCAAUAGCAGGGAAGAUAUUUGCUCUGUUAUAGUUCAUACUCAGGAAAAGUACUUACAAAACCUGAUCAUUUUAGGGAAUAUGAUUUUGCCAGCCUAGGUGUCUGUAUGCUUGAAAGUGUUGUGCUGUAUGAAGUGAGAUAGAAUACAGUGGUCAGAAAUCAUGUUAGCAAUGGCACUAAUCCUAGUUAAAACUAUUUCUACCCUGAAAAACAAUAUUUAUGGAGAUAUCCAGGAAAAAUGUUGUAGCUAAAUCAUGAUCACAGCUAAAGAAGGAGUUGAAUGUAAAAAUGGCUGUAACCUGUUUAUUUCAUUUUAUGUUGUAUUCUGGAAAGAUUGCCCAUCCACCUCUUUUUUCCUUGUUUGGCCAGAGAUAAAACUGGCUUGGUCCCUUUUUCAGUCUCUCUUAUUUCUGACAUAACAUACGCUGUUAACGGUUCUUAUGCAGAUUUUCAGGUCUGACUCUAUAAAUACUGUAAGAUAAAUACUAGAGGAUCUAAAUGUUUCCGUCCAACUCAAACCAUUCUAUGAUUCUGUGAAAUACAAGGUAAAAGAACUCCCCAAAGCUUCAGUUCUUUUUAGUUACAGCUGUGCUGAAUCCUGUACCAAACAAUAAUUUGUUCUUCCAUGUUCACAAUCCUAGCAAAUUCCAAUGUUCACUGACAAUGUAUAUAAUUUGUAACUAGCAUUAUUAAGUAUUAUUACAUUCACUCUGAUAUGGUAUAUUUAUAUUUGUUUAGCCAGCCAGGAGAGUCCAAUAUACAGCAAGUAGGAAAUUAGGAAUUCUAGGUCCUGGAUUUUUGGCAACAGAUUUCCUGCAGAUCUUGGCCAGUCCUAUCAGAGAAGAGAUGCUAAAACAAGCGUAGGAAACACACCCUAUGAGCAAAGACAAAAAGAACAGAGACUGUGGAAGGGAGACAUGAAACCAAGUUCAGAUACGUGAGAGGAAAUCUAAAGAAGAAAGUAAUCUCUUCAGCAUAGUGAAUGGGAUGAAAAAAUAGUGAAUUUGUUACAGGAUUUACACAUAAUUUUGCAUCAAGAUUAGGUGGGCCCCAGAGCAAUAGGAAAGCUUGAUACUGACUGAGAUGUGCAAUUUCUGGAGCAAGCCCCAAGUAAGCAUAAUGGUUCCUGACCCUCCAAAAUCCCUGCCAGAAGGAUAAAUGAGCACAUCUAUUCUGGUCAGCAGAACUCAUUGAAUAUUUAUAGGCAAGUUUUAAUUUAAGUAAAAUAUUUCAAGACAUUUGCUAUAACUGAAGAAUGUGGAUCUUUGAAAAAAAGUCAGGAAUUUACAUUCUUUCUGCCACUAAGAAUAGAUUGUUUAAAAACUAGAAACAGACGAAAUAAUAAUCAUGUAUUUUUGAAACAGUAUAGUCUAAUGGUUAUGGCAGUGGUGGGUGAUGUUUUCUUCUACCUGUCUCUGAUCUAUUGGGUAGCACUGGGUAUCUUUUCUUCCCUCCCAGUUAGGAGCUUGUGAAAUCUUUCAGAAUAUUUAGUCAGACAUUCUCGGUCCUCCCAAUCUGCUGCAUUCCCAGGAGAGAUGAAAAACAGGAGGAAGGAUGGUCUCAUGAUUAUUGUUAUCACAAGAUGUGGAUUUGUUUCUGUAUAACCUUAGAGAAAUCAAAUUCAGCAUGUCUAUAUUUAGUGAUGCAACAUCCUGCAGAAAUCCUAGAGUUACUGCUAAACCAGCUGCCUCUGAAACAUGCAACAUUUCAGUCUUUCUACUUGCACCUGAGCCUGUACUGCUGUAUUGUACAGUGCAGAUCUAGCAAUUUCCUCAGAGUUUGCUCCUGUAUCUCUGCACUGGCCUGCGACUCUAAGUUGUGUUUUGUCUUCCUGAACUUUACCUCCCCAAAUGUACAUUGGGAAAAAGAGUGCUUCGAAGUGGUCCUCAAUGACCGUGUACCUGCAUGGCCAUGAGCAGUAAAUACAAUUGCAAGUAAACACCUCAGAAACACGAAAGACAUCUCUAAAACCAAAGAAAGAGUAACACCUGCAACUUAACUUGUUUAACAUUUCUUAACUUGCUUAACAUUUGACAAACAUAGGCAUGGGAAGGGACAACUGGACAUGUAAUUCUCCUCCUGUACUGGUAAAAAUAUAAUAUGCACCAGGCAAACAUUGCUUAUAGAAAUUGAGCCUGGAGAAUAUUUAAAUAAAAACAUGUACAGGGCUUCUACAACAAGUCCUAGUGAACAGAUAUUUUCAAUAAAAUUUUGGUAUUAAACUUCUGUUGGGGUUCUGAAUAGUUAAGAAAAAUCAAAGCAAAAUUCUUUCCAUACAGGGAAAACAAAAAGAAAAAGAAAGAGAAAAGGAAAAAAAAAAGAAAAAGAGAAAGAGAAAGGAAAAAAAAAAAAAAAGAAAAAGAAAUCACCAGAGAGUUUAAUUGCAAUAUUUGUACAUACUAAAGGAAUAAAUUAUACAGGAAAACAAAACCUUUAAACUGAAUUCUGAACUUGUAAUUUGGAUAGAACUUUUGAAUAGAGAUCUGAAGUUAUUCCUCUUAUAAACUGCUCGUGGUUUGCCAUAGCAAAUAAGAAUAGUGCUUGGUUUUCACUUCACCUGGAGACAAGUCUCUUAGAUUGAUGUUUAUGAGGCUAAAAGUGCCACAUUUAUGAAGGCUGGCUUCUAGUUUGAGUUCUUUCAAUAACAACAAGGUGGAGGUGAACUUUGAAUGGAGCCAUGAGAGCAUGCAAAAGAAAAAGGUAGAAGACAAGGUUCAAAUCCAAUUUGGUUCAGACUUCAUUGACUGCAGUUUGGGUUUGGCCUGAGGCAGAAUAUCUAAAAGACUGACUAGAAAGAAAGUCCUUGGGUUCUCCUCAUGUAGAUUUAGUUUAGCAAAGAAACACACUGAUACUAGGACAAUAGGUCUUAGAGAACACCUAAAACAGAUAGUCUGAGAGCACAUCUGGUAACAGCCUUCAGGGAAUGAACUAAAUGACUUACUGGGAUGUCAUACCUGUUUCAGGUAUUUACUGGGCCAGGCAGCUAUUGGAAGGAGGCAAGGUUUCUUAUUUGUGAGCAGAAACAAUAUCUAUAACUGUAAAUCACUGUGCGUAACAUGCAACUCUAAAACACAUUUUAAUAAGCACAAUUAAGAGAAGCUACCCAGAAGCACAGAACUCAGCACUAUGUAAUUUGACACAAAGCUCUGCUAUGAUUUAAGAUUCUCUGCCACUGUUGCCUUAAAAAACCCUAAACCACAUGCCACUAUAAAAAGUCCCUGAAAAUAGAGAUCUCUCUUAAACACAAAGGUUACUUAACUUUUUUUUGCACCGAGUGGAGCUUGUAAAGCCAACCAAGCAGCAGAAGAGACUUAACAGCACUUUGUGAAGUGCUAUAGGAAAACCUUGUCUUCUAUUACACAGCUUUGAUUCCUUGUUUCCCCAGUAUGUUCUUGUCCCAGCUGACCCUCUAUUCCAUCAACUGACCUCAAGAAAUAUUGACAGACAGGAACACUUGCAGUCAGAAAACAUUUUAAAAUGAUAAAUACACCAGAAAAGCUUUAUCUCUCAUUUUUUUGGCCUAUAGCAAAUGUGCUCCUCAUCAGAUUAUCCAGAGCAGUGUUAAGAAGCUUGCACUGUUCUAACAAAAACUCAAC